rnacentral:rRNA from 1 species
GGCCGCGGGAAUUCGAUUCAGGCCUAACACAUGCAAGUCGAGCGGUAGAGAGAAGCUUGCUCCUCUUGAGAACAACGGACGGGUGAGUAAUGCCUAGGAAUCUGCCUGGUAGUGGGGGAUAACGUUCGGAAACGGACGCUAAUACCGCAUACGUCCUACGGGAGAAAGCAGGGGACCUUCGGGCCUUGCGCUAUCAGAUGAGCCUAGGUCGGAUUAGCUAGUUGGUGAGGUAAUGGCUCACCAAGGCGACGAUCCGUAACUGGUCUGAGAGGAUGAUCAGUCACACUGGAAUUGAGACACGGUCCA